AGUCACUGACAUUAGAUACCCCUGUAGUCCAGGGUGUAAACGCUGCAGACUUGGUGUUGGAAGCCCUUUGGGGGCAUUCAGUGCCGGAGAGAAGCUGUUAAGUCUGCUACUUGGGGAGUACGUCCGCAAGGAUGAAACUUAAAGGAAUCGGCGGGGGAGCACCGCAACGGGAGGAGCGUGCGGUUUAAUUGGAUUCAACACCGUAAACUCACCAGGGAAGACUGUUACAUGAAGGCCGAGAUGAAGACUCUGCUAGAUUUUCAG
rnacentral:rRNA from 1 species